UGGGGAAUAUUGCACAAUGGGCGCAAGCCUGAUGCAGCGACGCCGCGUGAGGGAUGACGGCCUUCGGGUUGUAAACCUCUUUCAGCAGGGAAGAAGCGAAAGUGACGGUACCUGCAGAAGAAGCGCCGGCUAACUACGUGCCAGCAGCCGCGGUAAUACGUAGGGCGCGAGCGUUGUCCGGAAUUAUUGGGCGUAAAGAGCUUGUAGGCGGUUUGUUGCGUCUGCUGUGAAAGACCGGGGCUUAACCCCGGUAUUGCAGUGGGUACGGGCAGACUAGAGUGUAGUAGGGGAGACUGGAAUUCCUGGUGUAGCGGUGAAAUGCGCAGAUAUCAGGAGGAACACCGAUGGCGAAGGCAGGUCUCUGGGCUGUAACUGACGCUGAGAAGCGAAAGCAUGGGGAGCGAACAGG
rnacentral:rRNA from 1 species